GGCGCGCUCUGCGCGCACCGGCGGACGGCUCAGUAACACGUCGGUAACCUACCCUCGGGAGGGGGAUAACCCCGGGAAACUGGGGCUAAUCCCCCAUAGGCCUGGGGUACUGGAAGGUCCCCAGGCCGAAAGGGGCUCUGCCCGCCCGAGGAUGGGCCGGCGGCCGAUUAGGUAGUUGGUGGGGUAACGGCCCACCAAGCCGAAGAUCGGUACGGGCCAUGAGAGUGGGAGCCCGGAGAUGGACACUGAGACACGGGUCCAGGCCCUACGGGGCGCAGCAGGCGCGAAACCUCCGCAAUGCGGGCAACCGCGACGGGGGGACCCCCAGUGCCGUGGCACAGCCACGGCUUUUCCGGAGUGUAAAAAGCUCCGGGAAUAAGGGCUGGGCAAGGCCGGUGGCAGCCGCCGCGGUAAUACCGGCGGCCCAAGUGGUGGCCGCUAUUAUUGGGCCUAAA
rnacentral:rRNA from 1 species